GGGUUGUGAGGUUAAGCGACUAAGCGUACACGGUGGAUGCCCUGGCAGUCAGAGGCGAUGAAGGACGUGCUAAUCUGCGAUAAGCGUCGGUGAGGUGAUAUGAACCGUUAUAACCGGCGAUUUCCGAAUGGGGAAACCCAGUGUGUUUCGACACACUAUCAUUAACUGAAUCCAUAGGUUAAUGAGGCGAACCGGGGGAACUGAAACAUCUAAGUACCCCGAGGAAAAGAAAUCAACCGAGAUUCCCCCAGUAGCGGCGAGCGAACGGGGAGGAGCCCAGAGCCUGAAUCAGUGUGUGUGUUAGUGGAAGCGUCUGGAAAGGCGUGCGAUACAGGGUGACAGCCCCGUACACAAAAAUGCACAUAUUGUGAGCUCGAUGAGUAGGGCGGGACACGUGGUAUCCUGUCUGAAUAUGGGGGGACCAUCCUCCAAGGCUAAAUACUCCUGACUGACCGAUAGUGAACCAGUACCGUGAGGGAAAGGCGAAAAGAACCCCGGCGAGGGGAGUGAAAAAGAACCUGAAACCGUGUACGUACAAGCAGUGGGAGCCUCUUAAUGGGGUGACUGCGUACCUUUUGUAUAAUGGGUCAGCGACUUAUAUUCUGUAGCAAGGUUAACCGAAUAGGGGAGCCGAAGGGAAACCGAGUCUUAACUGGGCGUUAAGUUGCAGGGUAUAGACCCGAAACCCGGUGAUCUAGCCAUGGGCAGGUUGAAGGUUGGGUAACACUAACUGGAGGACCGAACCGACUAAUGUUGAAAAAUUAGCGGAUGACUUGUGGCUGGGGGUGAAAGGCCAAUCAAACCGGGAGAUAGCUGGUUCUCCCCGAAAGCUAUUUAGGUAGCGCCUCGUGAAUUCAUCUCCGGGGGUAGAGCACUGUUUCGGCAAGGGGGUCAUCCCGACUUACCAACCCGAUGCAAACUGCGAAUACCGGAGAAUGUUAUCACGGGAGACACACGGCGGGUGCUAACGUCCGUCGUGAAGAGGGAAACAACCCAGACCGCCAGCUAAGGUCCCAAAGUCAUGGUUAAGUGGGAAACGAUGUGGGAAGGCCCAGACAGCCAGGAUGUUGGCUUAGAAGCAGCCAUCAUUUAAAGAAAGCGUAAUAGCUCACUGGUCGAGUCGGCCUGCGCGGAAGAUGUAACGGGGCUAAACCAUGCACCGAAGCUGCGGCAGCGACACUAUGUGUUGUUGGGUAGGGGAGCGUUCUGUAAGCCUGUGAAGGUGGCCUGUGAGGGUUGCUGGAGGUAUCAGAAGUGCGAAUGCUGACAUAAGUAACGAUAAAGCGGGUGAAAAGCCCGCUCGCCGGAAGACCAAGGGUUCCUGUCCAACGUUAAUCGGGGCAGGGUGAGUCGACCCCUAAGGCGAGGCCGAAAGGCGUAGUCGAUGGGAAACAGGUUAAUAUUCCUGUACUUGGUGUUACUGCGAAGGGGGGACGGAGAAGGCUAUGUUGGCCGGGCGACGGUUGUCCCGGUUUAAGCGUGUAGGCUGGUUUUCCAGGCAAAUCCGGAAAACCAAGGCUGAGGCGUGAUGACGAGGCACUACGGUGCUGAAGCGACAAAUGCCCUGCUUCCAGGAAAAGCCUCUAAGCAUCAGGUAACAUCAAAUCGUACCCCAAACCGACACAGGUGGUCAGGUAGAGAAUACCAAGGCGCUUGAGAGAACUCGGGUGAAGGAACUAGGCAAAAUGGUGCCGUAACUUCGGGAGAAGGCACGCUGAUAUGUAGGUGAAGCGACUUGCUCGUGGAGCUGAAAUCAGUCGAAGAUACCAGCUGGCUGCAACUGUUUAUUAAAAACACAGCACUGUGCAAACACGAAAGUGGACGUAUACGGUGUGACGCCUGCCCGGUGCCGGAAGGUUAAUUGAUGGGGUUAGCGGCAACGCGAAGCUCUUGAUCGAAGCCCCGGUAAACGGCGGCCGUAACUAUAACGGUCCUAAGGUAGCGAAAUUCCUUGUCGGGUAAGUUCCGACCUGCACGAAUGGCGUAAUGAUGGCCAGGCUGUCUCCACCCGAGACUCAGUGAAAUUGAACUCGCUGUGAAGAUGCAGUGUACCCGCGGCAAGACGGAAAGACCCCGUGAACCUUUACUAUAGCUUGACACUGAACAUUGAGCCUUGAUGUGUAGGAUAGGUGGGAGGCUUUGAAGUGUGGACGCCAGUCUGCAUGGAGCCGACCUUGAAAUACCACCCUUUAAUGUUUGAUGUUCUAACGUUGGCCCGUAAUCCGGGUUGCGGACAGUGUCUGGUGGGUAGUUUGACUGGGGCGGUCUCCUCCUAAAGAGUAACGGAGGAGCACGAAGGUUGGCUAAUCCUGGUCGGACAUCAGGAGGUUAGUGCAAUGGCAUAAGCCAGCUUGACUGCGAGCGUGACGGCGCGAGCAGGUGCGAAAGCAGGUCAUAGUGAUCCGGUGGUUCUGAAUGGAAGGGCCAUCGCUCAACGGAUAAAAGGUACUCCGGGGAUAACAGGCUGAUACCGCCCAAGAGUUCAUAUCGACGGCGGUGUUUGGCACCUCGAUGUCGGCUCAUCACAUCCUGGGGCUGAAGUAGGUCCCAAGGGUAUGGCUGUUCGCCAUUUAAAGUGGUACGCGAGCUGGGUUUAGAACGUCGUGAGACAGUUCGGUCCCUAUCUGCCGUGGGCGCUGGAGAACUGAGGGGGGCUGCUCCUAGUACGAGAGGACCGGAGUGGACGCAUCACUGGUGUUCGGGUUGUCAUGCCAAUGGCACUGCCCGGUAGCUAAAUGCGGAAGAGAUAAGUGCUGAAAGCAUCUAAGCACGAAACUUGCCCCGAGAUGAGUUCUCCCUGACUCCUUGAGAGUCCUGAAGGAACGUUGAAGACGACGACGUUGAUAGGCCGGGUGUGUAAGCGCAGCGAUGCGUUGAGCUAACCGGUACUAAUGAACCGUGAGGCUUAACCUUACAACGCCGAAG
rnacentral:rRNA from 2 species